GCCUAGGAAUCUGCCUGGUAGUGGGGGACAACGUUUCGAAAGGAACGCUAAUACCGCAUACGUCCUACGGGAGAAAGUGGGGGAUCUUCGGACCUCACGCUAUCAGAUGAGCCUAGGUCGGAUUAGCUAGUUGGUGAGGUAAAGGCUCACCAAGGCGACGAUCCGUAACUGGUCUGAGAGGAUGAUCAGUCACACUGGAACUGAGACACGGUCCAGACUCCUACGGGAGGCAGCAGUGGGGAAUAUUGGACAAUGGGCGAAAGCCUGAUCCAGCCAUGCCGCGUGUGUGAAGAAGGUCUUCGGAUUGUAAAGCACUUUAAGUUGGGAGGAAGGGCAGUAAGUUAAUACCUUGCUGUUUUGACGUUACCAACAGAAUAAGCACCGGCUAACUUCGUGCCAGCAGCCGCGGUAAUACGAAGGGUGCAAGCGUUAAUCGGAAUUACUGGGCGUAAAGCGCGCGUAGGUGGUUCGUUAAGUUGGAUGUGAAAGCCCCGGGCUCAACCUGGGAACUGCAUCCAAAACUGGCGAGCUAGAGUAUGGGCAGAGGGUGGUGGAAUUUCCUGUGUAGCGGUGAAAUGCGUAGAUAUAGGAAGGAACACCAGUGGCGAACGCGACCACCUGGGCUAGUACUGACACUGAGGUGCGAAAGCGUGGGGAGCAAACAGGA
rnacentral:rRNA from 2 species